rnacentral:rRNA from 1 species
CCUACGGGUGGCUGCAGUGGGGAAUAUUGGACAAUGGGGGCAACCCUGAUCCAGCCAUGCCGCGUGUGUGAAGAAGGCCCUCGGGUUGUAAAGCACUUUCAGUGAGGAAGAACGCCUGGUGGUUAAUACCCAUCAGGAAAGACAUCACUCACAGAAGAAGCACCGGCUAACUCCGUGCCAGCAGCCGCGGUAACACGGAGGGUGCGAGCGUUAAUCGGAAUUACUGGGCGUAAAGCGCGCGUAGGUGGCUUGAUAAGCCGGUUGUGAAAGCCCCGGGCUCAACCUGGGAACGGCAUCCGGAACUGUCAAGCUAGAGUGCAGGAGAGGAAGGUAGAAUUCCCGGUGUAGCGGUGAAAUGCGUAGAGAUCGGGAGGAAUACCAGUGGCGAAGGCGGCCUUCUGGACUGAAACUGACGCUGAGGUGCGAAAGCGUGGGUAGCAAACAGGAUUAGAUACCCCAGUAGUC